rnacentral:rRNA from 1 species
UACGUAGGGGGCUAGCGUUAUCCGGAUUUACUGGGCGUAAAGGGUGCGUAGGUGGUUUCUUAAGUCAGGAGUGAAAGGCUACGGCUCAACCGUAGUAAGCUCUUGAAACUGGGAAACUUGAGUGCAGGAGAGGAAAGUGGAAUUCCUAGUGUAGCGGUGAAAUGCGUAGAUAUUAGGAGGAACACCAGUAGCGAAGGCGGCUUUCUGGACUGUAACUGACACUGAGGCACGAAAGCGUGGGGAGCAAACAGGAUUAGAUACCCUGGUAGUCCACGCCGUAAACGAUGAGUACUAGGUGUCGGGGGUUACCCCCCUCGGUGCCGCAGCUAACGCAUUAAGUACUCCGCCUGGGGAGUACGCUCGCAAGAGUGAA